rnacentral:rRNA from 1 species
ACGAACGCUGGCGGCGUGCUUAAGACAUGCAAGCCGGACGGUAAGGCCCCCUUCGGGGGGUACACGAGUGGCGCACGGGUGAGUAACGCGUGGGCAACCUGCCUUCGGGUCCGGGACAACUCCGGGAAACUGGAGCUAAUACCGGAUGAGACCACGAGGUCUUCGGACUUCGCGGAAAAAGAUGGCCUCUCCUUGGAAGCUAUCGCCUGUCGAUGGGCCCGCGUCCCAUUAGUUUGUUGGUGAGGUAACGGCUCACCAAGGCGACGACGGGUAGCUGGUCUGAGAGGAUGAUCAGCCACACUGGAACUGAGACACGGUCCAGACUCCUACGGGAGGCAGCAGUCGGGAAUUUUGGGCAAUGGGGGCAACCCUGACCCAGCAACGCCGCGUGAGGGAUGAAGGCCUUCGGGUCGUAAACCUCUGUCGGGAGGGAAGAAAGGUCACCGUUCAAAUAGGGCGGGGGCUUGACGGUACCUCCAAAGGAAGCGCCGGCUAACUCCGUGCCAGCAGCCGCGGUAAU